CCGCCCCGUACGUUGGGCACUAGGUGUGGGGGACAUUCCACGUUUUCCGCGCCGUAGCUAACGCAUUAAGUGCCCCGCCUGGGGAGUACGGCCGCAAGGCUAAAACUCAAAGGAAUUGACGGGGGCCCGCACAAGCGGCGGAGCAUGCGGAUUAAUUCGAUGCAACGCGAAGAACCUUACCAAGGCUUGACAUGAACCGGAAAGACCUGGAAACAGGUGCCCCGCUUGCGGUCGGUUUACAGGUGGUGCAUGGUUGUCGUCAGCUCGUGUCGUGAGAUGUUGGGUUAAGUCCCGCAACGAGCGCAACCCUCGUUCUAUGUUGCCAGCACGUGAUGGUGGGGACUCAUAGGAGACUGCCGGGGUCAACUCGGAGGAAGGUGGGGACGACGUCAAAUCAUCAUGCCCCUUAUGUCUUGGGCUUCACGCAUGCUACAAUGGCCGGUACAAAGGGUUGCGAUACUGUGAGGUGGAGCUAAUCCCAAAAAGCCGGUCUCAGUUCGGAUUGGGGUCUGCAACUCGACCCCAUGAAGUCGGAGUCGCUAGUAAUCGCAGAUCAGCAACGCUGCGGUGAAUACGUUCCCGGGCCUUGUACACACCGCCCGUCAAGUCACGAAAGUUGGUAACACCCGAAGCCGGUGGCCUAACCCCUUGUGGGAGGGAGCUGUCGAAGGUGGGACUGGCGAUUGGGACUAAGUCGUAACAAAGGUAACCA
rnacentral:rRNA from 1 species